UACAGAGGUCCUAAGCGUUGUUCGGAUUCACUGGGCGUAAAGGGUGCGUAGGUGGUCGGGUAAGUCCGAUGUGAAAUCUCCAGGCUCAACCUGGAAAUGGCAUUGGAUACUAUUCGGCUUGAGGAGUGGAGGGGGGACUGGAAUUCUCGGUGUAGCAGUGAAAUGCGUAGAUAUCGAGAGGAACACCAGUGGCGAAGGCGAGUCCCUGGACACUUCCUGACACUGAGGCACGAAAGCUAGGGGAGCAAACAGG
rnacentral:rRNA from 1 species